UUUCCGUAGGUGAACCUGCGGAAGGAUCAUUAUUGUAUAACCGAGGUGCGAGGGCUGUCGCUGACCCGAAAGGUCGUGCACGCCCGAGUGCCCUCACACACAUCCAUCUCACCCCUAUGUGCACCACCGCGUGGGUCCCCCUUUGGCUUGUUCGGAGGGGGGCUUACGUUUUCACACAAACUUUGUAUGCAGUGUAGAAUGUAUUUUUUGUUUUUGCGAUCACGCAAUCAAUACAACUUUCAACAACGGAUCUCUUGGCUCUCGCAUCAAUGAAGAACGCAGC
rnacentral:misc_RNA from 1 species